GCUCCCAUCAGAGACAAAACAAGAAAACCCAAACUUUUAAAACCACAACCAAGGAAACUAGUGUUGCCGAAGAUUGUAGAGGAGAAUCUGACCUACGCAGAGUUGGAUCUGGUGAAGCCCAUUCCAGAGGCCAAGGCGUCUCGCAGCGGCACCGUCUACGCUCAGAUAUUGUUCGGGGAGUAGCAGCUAUGAGAGGAACACACACACACACACACUUACACACAAACGAACACCACUAGUGACUGUGCCUAAUGUUUAUAUUUAUAGUCUGUGUUGUUAAAAUGAAGGUUGAAACGUGUGAAGUCACAAAACUACGAUGUACAGUAUGAUUUUAUACAAAGACCAAGAUGCAAAAGGGGAAAUGUUUCUUCUUCUUCUUAUGGUUGUUUUGCCUUUUGCACACCGUUGUAUCUCAAGCUGGGAACACAAUAGAAGACUAAAAACUAGAUCGGAGGACGCCUGCAGGUUCACAGAUUCCUGUGGUGUUUUUAAUGUUAUUUUUUCUCUGGGGUGAGGCGAUAAGAAGCAUAAUUAUCUUAUUUAAGGUGCACAAAUAUGGAAUGAGGACCACUGAGUCUUAUCAUUUUUUUAACUCAGCAGACACAAUGGAAGCAGAAAGCUAGCCUGUCUGCAAUCUUAAAACCUCUUGGAUAUCUGCUUACAACAAAAAUUAGCCUUAGGGGGCAACAGCAGUUUGGGCCUGUAACUAUGACAGGAAAAACAACCAGUGUGGAUUUCGCAUUUUUUAAGCAAAAUCUCACUACGCAGACAUCAAUAUGCGUCUAUGAGAACGUCAUCAACUGAGGUACAACCUCAGUCUAACCACUAGAUGUCGCUAAUUGUUACACACUGGACCUAUAAACUCAAUUUUGACACAACAGAUUUAUGACCAAGAGAACAAUUUACUCUAUUAUUAUGAAUAUGAACCAGUACAGCUUUCAAAUGUGAUUUACUUCUAGUGUGUUCCCAGUGUUAUCUGCCUCGCAACAUCUGUGUUCAGUCUGUGUCUGUGUCAGGCCACAGUUUUUAUAAUGACCACAACUCUGCAGACUUAACACUGAACUAGCGAUUAGCCCCCGCGACCUCCGCCCCCUUGCGGGCAAGCAUAUGUGGGGCCGAGCCCUUUCAUCCGGCGCCAACGUCAACUUAACAGGCCGUUAAGCGACACACGUAUGUAUACAUAAAGGCGAGGGUGGAGCUGCAUGUGGGAUAAACAGCCGAUGUUUGUUGUCAAAAAUGCACAUACUGUAAAGCCAAAAAACCUGCAAGCAAUUGUGACACCUGGUCUACAGGGACAAACUGUGUACGCACUAUUUCACUGUAAUGAAAAUUGACUUCAAGGUGAUUCUAGAUAAGAGGCGGCGGCCACAUCAGCCCGUUAUGCCACAUGCCUCUUUGCUUUCUCACUUGAAUCUGAACGUUAAAGUGCACAGGAGUCUUUUUUUUUUUUCCCAUUUAAUGAUCUGCUGGAUUCAUGCAUGGAAAAAGCAAAGGGGAGGAGGAACAGUGAACUUGAAACCCAGACACAAAGGCACCGGAUCCUUCCCUCACCCAAAGAUUUUCACUAUCUAAUACGAAGUUAUCCAUGCAGAUGGAGGAAGUCAUACUUUCUCUCUCCCUGUGAGCUGCCCUUUAUCUUCAAGGAGAUGUUUUUAAUUAUUUUUUUAUUGCAAAAAAAAACAUUAUAUGAUAUUAUUUUAAUCUUAUAGCCAACAUACUGAAAUAUGCCAAAUGUGUCUCAAAUGUUUAGGUUGAUGCCUUGUUGGUUCAUUAGUAAACUGCUAAAAAAUAGAUAACUUUUGACAAAGAACACUGAAGAAAAGUUCUGUAAACGUCAGUCUCCGCCGGGCGACCAGGAAACUGCGGCUUACAUGUUCUUGGACAAUUACACUCUACAGCAUAUAGAAUUACAAUGUAAACCCACUGUUGACCUCUGUGUUUGCUGGCGCUCCAGUUUUCCACUCACGUUCUUUUCAGUUUUCUCUUUUCCCUGUGCAAAGUGACUGAACGUGACCUUGCAGUGGUGGGUAGAUGUGUCUCAGAAAUGCCCUAAAACUGUGAAAUGUAAAGUUUCUUCCACACCACAUUGUCCUUAAUGGGCGUCCGCUAACUAGAACCAUGUGUGUGCUCUCUCUCUCUCUCUCUCUCUCUCUCGCUCUCUCUCCCUGCCCACCACUGACCUCUGCAUCCACCAACAUUCCACCAUUUUGGUUCUUUGUCCUUGUUGUACAUUUCAAAUGUACAGUUUUGUAUCAGUAAGUGAAAUAAAAAAUGAAAGUUGA